rnacentral:rRNA from 1 species
GACGACGCUGGCGGCGUGCUUAACACAUGCAAGUCGAACGGUGACGAGGAGCUUGCUCCUCCGAUCAGUGGCGAACGGGUGAGUAACACGUGAGCAACCUGCCCCUCACUCUGGGAUAACAGUUGGAAACAGCUGCUAAUACCGGAUACGACACAGACAGGCAUCUGUACUGUGUGGAAAGUUUUCGGUGAGGGAUGGGCUCGCGGCCUAUCAGUUUGUUGGUGGGGUAAUGGCCUACCAAGACGACGACGGGUAGCCGGCCUGAGAGGGCGACCGGCCACACUGGGACUGAGACACGGCCCAGACUCCUACGGGAGGCAGCAGUGGGGAAUAUUGCACAAUGGGCGAAAGCCUGAUGCAGCGACGCCGCGUGAGGGAUGACGGCCUUCGGGUUGUAAACCUCUUUCAGCAGGGAAGAAGCGAAAGUGACGGUACCUGCAGAAGAAGCACCGGCUAACUACGUG